rnacentral:lncRNA from 1 species
UAUAUUAGAAAUCAAGAAAAUUCAAUUUUGCCAAACAUCAUAUUCCCUAAGUAUUCAGGUUUUCUGAAUUCUACUCUAGUGAGUAAAGCACUGUGAAAGAUUGGCUCUUUUUGUUUUUUUUUUAAUCCCCAUGGCUGAGAAUAUCAACUGCGUUAAUCAUUUUAAAAUUCUUACCCCCUGUAGAAAUGGACAAUUUCUUUUUUCCUCAAUGACCUGAUAGCUAGCUUCUUGUGUAGAAAAGAACAUUGAUUAAACCUCAGGACAUAAUUAUUAGCUGUGUAAUCUUGGCUAUGAGAGUUAGUCUCUGGGACUGUAAGUUUCCUUAUUUGUAAACAGGAAGAAUACUAAGUAGUACCCUCGGUUAUGGUAAACAUUAAGUCAGUUAAUGUAUAGAAAGGAUCUACAAAGGCAUACUGUACGUGCAGAAUAAAUAUUAAUCAGCUACAUUUCUCCUUCUUUUGUCAAUGGCGUGGAAUCAAGAAACCAGAUAUUUUUAUGAUUUAAAUUCAUAGUGUUAGCUUAUGCAGACACUUAAGCAAUUAAAGCCCUUGUCUGUAAUACAUCUCUUAUUUUUCUUCCAGCGCUGAAACCUGUCAGAUAAAUAUUGUGUAAAGUUGUUUUCAAGAGCAGUUAUAGGGUGCAGGGAAGUGAAAGUAUUCAGCAUUGCUACCCAAAUGGUUAUAAAAUCUGGUCUGUAGGAUGCCUGAGAAGUAACUCAUUGCUUCACAAAGAGUCAGGUGAUAUUGGAAUCCAUUUAAGCAGAGGUGAUAUGGAUCUAGACUCCACUGAACAGCCACACUGAUUUAAGUGUCUUGGUCUUCUGUGGAGGCUACUCAAAAUAAAGACCAACUAUGAAAAUAUUCCAGAUGGAAAUACUACUAUGUUAGAGGUAUUAUGACUUUUCUUGUUACAUCUUCUCUAGAAUUAACCCUUGGCUCAAAAGCUGCAGGUAAACAAGCAUCACUUCAAGAUAUUUAGAUCUAUGGGUUCAAUAGGGCAAUAUAGCAACUUAUUUCAAAAGUAGAAAUAUCAUGUGCGAAGAUCAACUCUAUUCCCUUGCCAAACAAAAUUCCAUUAACUAACUUAAAUUGGACUUAAUAACAAUCACAUAAACUAAUUAGUUUCCAUUUAUAACUCCAUUAGGAGUAUUAUUCAUCGCAGCAUUGCCCGAUAGAGCUGUGCUUCUUCAGACUUUGAACAGAUUAAAUAAAUAUAACCUGGGGUGCUAAUUAUACAAUGAUGAUGCAGAGACUCCAAGAUUACUC